rnacentral:rRNA from 1 species
UACGAAGGGGGCUAGCGUUGCUCGGAAUUACUGGGCGUAAAGCGCACGUAGGCGGCUUUCUAAGUCGGGGGUGAAAUCCUGGAGCUCAACUCCAGAACUGCCUUCGAUACUGGAGCUUGAGUCCGGGAGAUGGUGAGUGGGAACUGCGAGUGUAGAGGUGAAAUUCGUAGAUAUUCGCAAGAACACCAGUGGCGAAGGCGGCUCACUGGCCCGGUACUGACGCUGAGGUGCGAAAGCGUGGGGAGCAAACAGGG